rnacentral:rRNA from 1 species
UACGGGGGGGGCAAGCGUUGUUCGGAAUUACUGGGCGUAAAGGGCUCGUAGGCGGCCAACUAAGUCAGACGUGAAAUCCCUCGGCUUAACCGGGGAACUGCGUCUGAUACUGGAUGGCUUGAGUUUGGGAGAGGGAUGCGGAAUUCCGGGUGUAGCGGUGAAAUGCGUAGAUAUCUGGAGGAACACCGGUGGCGAAGGCGGCAUCCUGGACCAACACUGACGCUGAGUGAGCGAAAGCGUGGGGAGCAAACGGG